rnacentral:lncRNA from 1 species
CCUCUCCCCGCCACCAUGGAUUCCCGCCUGUGUGGCCAACUGGGCACUGGAGGAUGGCUUUGGCGCUUCACCGGUCAACUGGGAUCAUGCCCAGGGCCCGUGGGAUGAUGCGAGUUUGGCUGGGAGAAUGGAGCUCCGCCGCAGGGCCGCAUGCCGCCGUGACUAGCCAUGCCACCGCCUUCCCCGCUGGUAAUGUGCUACCCCAUAGCUUCGCCUCGUCUUACUCUGCGCGUAGCACGGGUUGGUAUAGGAUUUAGGGCCUGGUGGUCGUCGGACGGGGUGCACGGCGUAGGGCGCCGCCGUGAAUGGGGCGCCGCCGGUCGGGGAUGGGGGAGAAAAUGGGCACUCCACGAUGGCCGUUGGAUUCUGGGCGUGCGAUCCAGAUUAAAUCUCUUCAUACCGCUUUGCUCUAGGAAACCUUGGCCGUCGGAUCGGCCGCGGGCGGCCGAGAUUAGGUAUUUCCUUACCCGUUCGCGCGAUCAACAGGAACCGUAGAUCUGCCAUCCCAAGGCUCAGACUAGAUCUAGCUUCAUUAAAUCAUGGCCGUGGAUCUCGGAUCCCACGGCUAACAGCGCUUACCGUUUCGUUUGAGUUAUAUCUAAUCUGCGCCACACGUUGUUGAUCGGACGGACCAGAUUAGAACUUACCCCUUCGCUGAGCGGAUUUUGUAAAAGAGACCCCGACUUUCUAAGAAAACAACCCACCGUCCAUGCGGCUGUAGCUUUGAGUCUCGGGAAUUUUAGUAGAUUAGCCCCUGUUGUCUCUAGGAUUUGAGGACCUGUCCAGACAGUGAUAAAAACAUAUAAAAUCAUUUAGAAAAUGAAUUUCUAUAUGAAAAUAAUUGAUAGAAUUUGUUUAAUUCAUGUAAAAUUCAUAUGGAGUCUAAAUUGGUCCAUUCCAAUUCCUAUAAAUCUAUAAUAUUACUGUUUAUCACAUAGUACAUCUGGUUUGACAUGAAAAUCAUAUUAAAACUUAUUUCCUAAUUAAUCCUAUACCAAACACAUGAAACCUUAGGAAAAUCAUAACUCCUUCGUUUUAACUCCGAUUUGACUCGUUCCAGUUGCGUUAGUCUCAUAGCAACGCGUAGAUCGAUAUUAUGCAGUUGUUCUUAUGUUUGGUGUGAUGUUAAUUUUGUCUAUAUCAUGUUUGCUUGGGUUGCAACGACUAGCGCGAGGACUCGUGUCAUCUGAAAAGCAAGUUGGUACCUGGAUU